ACGUUUGGCUUCCGCUCCGCCCUUGAAGGGGAGAUAUUCUUAAAAAUAUCGACUAGGUACAUUGGUAGGGCCAAGCUUUUCUCCCUGAUUGUUAAAAUGCUUAUUUCCAAUGUUAUAUUAUAUUUGAAAAAUAAAUAUUAUGGGCAAUAAAAUACACGUUAUUUGAAAAACAUUUUCUUAUCAUGUUCGCUGUACCCUUUACAGUAUUUUUAUAUUUUCAAAUAAUAUGUUUCGACGUGAAAGGCAUAGUUGCACAACAAAUACGUGACAACAUAAGCGAUUACGACUGGAGUGUGUGGUGCAAAUUUCAGCCUAAUGGUUUCGAUUGUACCGACGGGGAGCCUUUGCAACCGAAAUUUUAUUACGACGUAAAAAUGGAGGAUUGUAAAACGUUUACAUUUGGUCUGUGCGGUAAGAGCAAAAAUCACUUCGAAACGAGAAAUGAAUGUCGCGACCGUU